GCAUCUUGUUUCUGGGCUGAAACAUUUAAGGUGCCUUGGGAAGUCAUGCCUCCUGGAAUUAAAUUGGCCAUUGCAAAUAAAAAGACCAUCACCAGCUGAUCGAAGGCAGCUAGUAAGGAUGUUAGUAGAUAAUAUGCGAAAACAUGAAGUCAACCCAUCAAAGGCACAGUGUCAGACUGUAGUGCAGAACAUUGUUAACAGGACCCGGACAGCUUUGCUGAUGUUCUGGCUGAUGGAACAAAAAUAGGUAGUGGCUAUGCCUCUUUGCUCUUGCAAGUUAAAACCCGUGUUGAACAUGUAAACAGAAACAACACAUUAGCUCGUCGGAGAAAAGAACGACUACGAUCAUCGUGCAGAACCCCAAGUCAAAGCUCAAGAAGGCCGGCUGAUCAAUAUGGUUGUGUCAGUUGGCAGCCAGAGGAGCUUCCUGCAGGAGAAAAUGAUGACACUCUAGAAGAGAAGCGCAAGCAAAUGGUACUGCUUCAUUCUACUGAAGGAAUGUCUGGCGCCAUUAGAGGAGAACUUCACAAGAUGAUGGAGCUCACAUAUUACCGUCAACGCCGUGAUAUAAACGCCACUCCACCUCCGCCACUGUCUGAACUAAAGAACUCAUGGCCGCCUUACCGGCCUUACCUUAAGGGUAUUUUUUUACAUUUUCAUUUGCUUACUGGCAUCACACUGCUCCAAAGAGUCAUAAGAGUCAUGGAAGGGAAAGGGAAGAGGAUUCUAAGAUUUUUUUCAAGAAAGGCCAACAAACAGUGAGGUGCAUGCUGUUCUGUCAAAGUAUCAAGAGGGAAAUUCUCUGGUCCUGUGCAUCCUGCAACUCUUAAUGGCCCAUUUUAAAGAGAGAACAGAAUCCCUUCUAAUUGAAGCUGAUGUAGCAGCAACUGCAGCCGACAUGGAAAGAAAUGGAUUACCGGAUUCACCCGCACUGAUCUUUCAAGGUGAAUCUAUGACCCCAAGCAAGUGGAUGUUGUCAGUCGAAAGUGAAGUUGUCUUUGGCCCAUGUUCAGAGGCAUUUGUUGAGGGCCUGGCAGCAUUGUUUGCGACCUAUUACAACUUAAACCUUGCUUAUCAGGAUGAAGCUGCAUGCACCCUCGAAUUUAUUCAGAGGUAUGUCAGAGCAUAAACUCUUACUGAAUAUUUAUUGUAGACAUCCAAGUUUCCAUUACUUUUUUUAGGUUUACAGGUUUGGAUGGCUUAUCAGGAUUAGAUGUUUUUUGGAAAAGUUUUCAAACAGCAAAAAAAUGCUGACUGCACACUGAAUUGAGUACAUACAACCAAAGUCCAGCAAAAAUAUUUUAUAAAAAAAUCUAUUACAAAAUAUGCAAACAAAUGUAAAACUAUACAAACAAUGCA
rnacentral:lncRNA from 1 species